GACGAACGCUGGCGGCGUGCCUAACACAUGCAAGUCUGGGAGAAUAGGGUAGCAAUAUCCUUAGUAAACCGGCGCACGGGUGAGUAAUAUAUAGGUAACCUGCCUUAUGGUUUGGAAUAACCCCGCGAAAGCGGGGCUAAUACCGAAUGAUGCAGCGGAUCCGCAUGGAUAUGUUGUUAAAGCUUCGGCGCCAUAAGAUGGGCCUGUAUCCCAUUAGAUAGUUGGUAAGGUAACGGCUUACCGAGUCUGCGAUGGGUAGCUGAUCUGAGAGGAUGAUCAGCCACACUGGAACUGAGACACGGUCCAGACUCCUACGGGAGGCAGCAGUGAGGAAUAUUGCGCAAUGGAGGAAACUCUGACGCAGCGACGCCGCGUGAAGGAUGAAGGCCCUCUGGGUUGUAAACUUCUGUAGAGAGGGAAGAAUGUCCCGUUUCACGGGAUUGACGGUACCUCUAAAGUAAGCAUCGGCUAACUACGUGCCAGCCGCCGCGGUAAAAC
rnacentral:rRNA from 1 species